UACGUAGGGUGCAAGCGUUGUCCGGAAUUAUUGGGCGUAAAGAGCUCGUAGGCGGUCUGUUGCGUCGGCUGUGAAAACCCGAGGCUCAACCUCGGGCCUGCAGCCGAUACGGGCAGACUAGAGUUCGGCAGGGGAGACUGGAAUUCCUGGUGUAGCGGUGAAAUGCGCAGAUAUCGGGAGGAACACCAGUGGCGAAGGCGGCACUCUGGGCCGGAACUGACGCUGAGGAGCGAAAGCGUGGGGAGCGAACAGG
rnacentral:rRNA from 1 species